UUCAUCGUUGGAUUCCUCGUCCUCGUCCUCGUCCUCAUCCUCCUCCUCCUCGUCGACAGAAUCAUCAUCACUGUCGUCGCCAUCGGAACCUCCAUCACCUCCAUCUCCUCCAUCCCCUUCACCCUUUUCGUCUUCUACUUUCUAACAGCAAAUGACUGAGCAUCAGAAAUAGAGGUUCAUUCAAAGCAUCUCGCUGCACAUUGAGAACGUUGUGAGUCAAGCGGCGGUUUAACAUCAGAAAAACAAAGAAAGGAUGGAAGUGUGGGAGUUCCUACUGGAACCAGUGAAUGCCCUGCUGCGUAACAUUCAUGUGGUAAGAUGCCACAAUCUGCUUCGCAAACAGAUUCUGAGCCCAAACGCUUGUCUCGAGGUCAAUGGUGAAGCCGUGGGCACUCUCACUGCCUCAGCUGGACCUGUCUUUUUAUUGGCCACAUGGAACAGUCUUUGGUCUACCCCCCAACCCAUCAACAGCUGUAUCGCUGCUACCUCCUGCGCCCGUGCAGAAUCUGUCAAUCUUACCAUCUUUGCCACCAACUUCCACCCCACCCUCAAGUUCACCCAGACCAUCUCUGACAUUUUUCCAGAUCUCUCUGUCUCCAUCUCAGGAGACAAACUAUCACCAAUAUUUACUAUAAACUUACAGAUUCUCACACUACCUCGACUCCACCUCCUCCCACCCUUGUCUCCUAUAAGGACUCCAUUCCUUUCUCAGUCUCUCUGUCCCCGUGCAUCCGUUAUCAAGAAGAGGUUUUCCACUCCAGGACAUCUGAAAUAUCCUCCUUCAGGAAGUGUGCCUUCCCCUCUGCCGUGUUUGAUGAAGCCCUCCCACACAUCUUCUCUCAACCCCCCACCCCCCAUCUCACCAGACAGAACAUAGAUAAAGUUAUCUGGUCCUCACCUUUCAUCCCACUGCCACUUCCAGCAUAUUGACCAGUUCCAAUGGGAUCCCACUACUAGCCACAUCUUCUCCUCCUCCAUCCCCACUUCUGCUUCCUGCAGGGAUCACUCUCUCCAUGACUCCCUAGUCCACUCAUCCCUUUCUAACCACCCCUCUCCAUCAAAUGUAGAAGCUGCAACACCUGUCCCAACACCACCUCCCUCACCACCAUCCAGGGACCUGAACAGCCCUUCCAGGUGGGGCAGAGAUUCACAUGCACCUUCUCCAACUUGGUCUAUUGCAUUCUGUGACCCUGAUGUGGCCUCCCAUCGGCAAGUCCAAGAGUAAAUUAGGCGACUAUUUUGUUGAGUACCUGCGUCUGUCCGCAAUGACCAUCUUGAGCUUCUGGCUGCGUGACACUUCAACUCCCCUUCCCAGUCCCACACUGACCUGUCUGUCCUUGGUCUUCUCCACUGCCAGAGUGAGACCAAACACAAACUAGAAGAACAAACCUCAUAUUCUGCUUGGGUAGCCCU